rnacentral:ncRNA from 1 species
AUUUUGACAAUGGUAAGUUGAGUAACCAUAACGCAUUGCUUAGAGAGCUGGGGUUGAUGUGAACCAGCCAAUGUGACGUGGUGAAUAUGGUCUUAUCGUCAUUUGAUGGCGAACAAUUAGUCAUCAACGGGUCCGCCCGUUACAGCGGGCGGGUAUUGUGAUGCACUGCUCAACGUUGGUUGGCCUCCGAAGUACAAGGAGGGUGGCGUUGAUCGACUGUAAAAGACAGUACCUCUAAGGAACACAUUGUGAAAUGUGUUUAAAUUUAAGGUGGUAACGCGACUUUGUCGUCCUUGUA